rnacentral:rRNA from 1 species
AACGAACGCUGGCGGCAUGCCUAACACAUGCAAGUCGAACGAGACCUUCGGGUCUAGUGGCGCACGGGUGCGUCACGCGUGGGAACCUGCCCUUAGGUUCGGAAUAACUCCCCGACAGGGGUGCUAAUACCGGAUAAUGUCUUCGGACCAAAGAUUUAUCGCCUUUGGAUGGGCCCGCGUUGGAUUAGCUAUUUGGUAGGGUAAAAGCCUACCAAGGCGACGAUCCAUAGCUGGUCUGAGAGGAUGAUCAGCCACACUGGGACUGAGACACGGCCCAGACUCCUACGGGAGGCAGCAGUGGGGAAUAUUGGACAAUGGGCGAAAGCCUGAUCCAGCAAUGCCGCGUGAGUGAUGAAGGCCUUAGGGUUGUAAAGCUCUUUUACCCGGGAUGAUAAUGACAGUACCGGGAGAAUAAGCUCCGGCUAGCUCCGUG